rnacentral:rRNA from 1 species
GGGGAAUCUUGCGCAAUGGGCGAAAGCCUGACGCAGCAACGCCGCGUGUGUGAUGAAGGCUCUCGGGUCGUAAAGCACUGUCAGGGGGAANAAUUUGACGGUACCCCAAAGGAAGCACCGGCUAACUCCGUGC